rnacentral:rRNA from 1 species
AACGAACGCUGGCGGCAGGCUUAACACAUGCAAGUCGAACGCCCGUAGCAAUACGGGAGUGGCAGACGGGUGAGUAACGCGUGGGAAUCUCCCCAAAGGUACGGAACAACUCAGGGAAACUUGAGCUAAUACCGUAUGUGCCCGAGAGGGCAAAGAUUUAUCGCCUUUGGAUGAGCCCGCGUUGGAUUAGCUAGUUGGUGGGGUAACGGCCUACCAAGGCGACGAUCCAUAGCUGAUCUGAGAGGAUGAUCAGCCACACUGGGACUGAGACACGGCCCAGACUCCUACGGGAGGCAGCAGUGGGGAAUCUUGGACAAUGGGCGAAAGCCUGAUCCAGCCAUGCCGCGUGAGUGAAGAAGGCCUUAGGGUUGUAAAGCUCUUUUACCCGGGAAGAUAAUGACGGUACCGGGAGAAUAAGCCCCGGCAAACUUCGUGCCAGCCGCCGCCGUAA